CUGGAUGUAUAGCGAAGUGGACUGUUUUGGUUGGGGCGCGUGAUCUGAAGUUCGCUCCACUUUCAUUUUAUCUGCUAUUGAACGCAGUUUAUCCCGUCUUAAAUUUUAUCGAUUAUUUACGUUUUAAAAUACCUAAAGUUGGAUUAGGAAAGUUAUUUGAAAUGUUUGGAUAAAGUUUACAGGUAACUUAUUAGAUAUUUUGUAGUCAUGCUGGACGAGUUGGAACCGGUGUUUUUCUGAAUCAAAGGCGCCAAAUAAAUGGAUAUUUUGGAGAUAUAACGACGGAAUUAAUUGAACAAAAGGACCAUUUGUGAUGUUUAUGGGACAUAUUGGAGUGCCAACAGAGAAGCUCUUCAAAGGAGGGGUGCGUCACUUGAGUCGGUUGAGUCACUGACGUGGUCUUCCUGUCUGGGCUGGCGUUGUGCCGUGGCGGAGAUCUUUGUGGGCUAUACUCGGCCUUGUCUCAGGAUGGACCUGAGCCCUGGGACCAUGCCUCAGGACUACCUGGCAUGAUGACUCCUUGCUGUCCCCAGUCCACCUGGUCGUGCUGCUGCUCCAGUUUCAACUGUUCUGCCAGCGGCUAUGGAACCCUGACCUGUUCACCGGACGGGCUACCUGUCACAGACCUGCUGUUUUCAACUCUCUAGAGACAGCAGGAGCGGUAGAGAUACUCUCAAUGAUCAGCUAUGAAAAGCCAACUGACAUUUACUCUUGAGGUGCUGACUUGUUGCACCCUCGACAACUACUGUGAUUAUUAUUAUUUGACCAUGCUGGUCAUUUAUGAACAUCUUGGCCAUGUUCUGUUAUAAUCUCCACACGGCACAGCCAGAAGAGGACUGGCCACCCCUCAUAGCCUGGUUCCUCUCUAGGUUUCAUCCUAGGAUUUGGCCUUUCUAGGGAGUUUUUCCUAGCCACCGUGCUUCUACACCUGCAUUGCUUGCUGUUUGGGGUUUUAGGCUGGGUUUCUGUACAGCACUUUGAGAUAUCAGCUGAUGUAAGAAGGGCUAUAUAAAUACAUUUGAUUUGAUUUGAAUAGGGUUUAGAUGACUGUGCUGGCCUCUCCAUUAUAGACAGAAUA
rnacentral:lncRNA from 1 species